AACGAACGCUGGCGGCGUGGAUAAGACAUGCAAGUCGAACGGGAUUCCUUUCGGUAGCAAUACUGAGAGGGAUUUAGUGGCGAACGGGUGCGUAACACGUGGGGAAUCUGCCGAGAAGUGGGGGAUAGCUCGUCGAAAGGCGAAUUAAUACCGCAUAUGAUCAGGGAAGACAUCUUUCCAACAUCAAAGCCGGGGCAGCCUGGCGCUUCUUGAUGACCCCGCGGCCUANCAGCUAGUUGGUGAGGUAACGGCCCACCAAGGCUAUGACGGGUAGCUGGUCUGAGAGGACGACCAGUCACACUGGAACUGAGACACGGUCCAGACACCUACGGGUGGCAGCAGUCGAGAAUUUUUCUCAAUGGGGAAAACCCUGAAGGAGCGACGCCGCGUGGAGAUGAAGGCCUUUUGGGUCGUAAACUCCUGUCAUUUGAGAACAAGUGUAGCUAAGUAACUACUGGCUACUUGAUAGUAUCAGAAGA
rnacentral:rRNA from 1 species